AGACCUUGCCUGUGGGGUCAUGGGAGCUCAAAAUGCCACUCAUUUCCUCCACAGGACCAGAUGCCUGAGCUAGGAGAGGCCUCAUUCCUGCUGUGAUCCUGCCAUGGAUACCCGCCUCCUAUGCUGGGCAAUUUUUAGUCUCUUGAAAGCAGGACACACAGAACCUGAAGUCACCCAGACUCCCAGCCAUCAGGUCACACAGAUGGGACAGGAAGUGAUCUUGCGGUGUGUCCCCAUCUCUAAUCAUUUCUACUUCUAUUGGUACAGACAAAUCUUGGGGCAGAAAGUCGAGUUUCUGGUUUCCUUUGUUAAUGAUGAGAUCUCAGACAAGUCUGAAAUGUUCGAUGAUCGAUUCUCAGUUGAAAGGCCUGAUGGAUCAAAUUUCACUCUGAAGAUCAAGUCCACAAAGCUGGAGGACUCAGCCAUGUACUUCUGUGCCAGCAGUGAAGCCACAGCCUUACAAAGACACCUCCAGUCUGUUCAAAAACCCUCAUAGAUCUGUCUCCCUCCCAGCCGCCAGCUCCCACUUCCUGUCUAAGAAAAGGAAGUAUCUGGUUGGGUUUGUUCUUGCAGCCAUCUCCAAAUAGACAGAUAUCUGAAAUUAAAUUCCCAAAGAUAUCUUGGGCAGAAAUGGUCAGAUACUGU